AUCCCGGACUAACCUUCUUGUGUUUUUCUGAUUCAUGGGAGGCAAAAAUCAUGUGGUUAUUCGCUGAUAGCAUAUCUUCUAUGUCAAAGGAUCUGCUUUUAGUAUAUAACCAUACAUUU